GGCAGCCCUCUUCUAGCACAAACACCGUUUCCCACAUUGAAGAAAUCACAGAGAUCAGCAACUCUAGAGUGCGAUGAAGAAGCUUCACUCUGGGAGAACCCCCUUCGUGACCACGGUCUCUUUCCUGCCAGGGCACCGGCAACAGUUUUCCGUUUGUGCCUACUCCACCUGCUGUCUUUGUUGGGUCAGCGAACGUCGCCUCCCUCUACCGCUCAAUCAGCAAAAGGGGCCGCCCUUGAGGACCUCACCCGCCGCUCACUCCCCUCCCAACUUCGCGGGCAUCGCCUCCGGUCGCCUCUUCGGAAGGCCUAACGAGCAUGUUAGCUGCGAACGGAGGUGAGGAGGCUCCGCUGACUGACCGGUGCCCAUGUCCAGGGCACGCACAAACGCCAUGACUUGGCUUGGCCUCUCUCUUAGUUAUUCACAGCUCAGCCCGAUAGGCACCUCCGGGGCGGCGACGGCAAAGAGGGUGCGCUUAUUAAGUGCAGCUCCACGGGGACUGGCCUCUCUGCACGGCUGUGUACACCUGAGCGAGACGCUCAGUCGCUCUCUAAAGCCGCUUCUGCGGAUGACAGACACCGAGAUAAACGUGAGAGGUGGCCCACCACGACUUGCCCUCCUUUGCCCGGGUUUGCCCCUCGCUGCGGAGGCUGUUCUACAUCUGGCCCUUGGAGCAGGCCGGCUGACAGCGUAGUAAAGGAAGAUUUCUGCGGGAGGGCGGCCAGUGCAAAACAAUUCCCUGAUGGGGAAUCGAACCCGGGCCGCGGCGCUUUAAGCACCGAAUCCUAGUCACUAGACCACCAGGCGGAAGGGUGCUUUCUCUCCCUUCUUCAACCUGAAGUGACACUUUCCUGUGCUCUAGGAGGACUUGGGUAUUGUGAGAGUCGCUCUUUGCUCCUGGAGUCGUCUCACGAGGCCGUUCACUCCCUGCUUUCUUCAAAAAAAGAACCUGCAGGCGACACACCAAGGGCUCCGCGAGGGAGUCCUGAGUACUGGAGCGAGUUGCAGCCACCCGGCCGCAGCUCACCACUGGCCUAGAGAUGCCCUUUGCGAGGCGGCAGCAACUGACAAGAUGGUCGCGGGUCGCCAGGUCCGGAGCCGCGCACCAGGUUGCCAGGAGGCGGCGGGAGCGGGGAGGCGCCCGGGGUGAAACGGAGGCACCCUCUGCAUCAUAAAGGACCCAGACCCCGGCACCCUCAACAUCAUAAGGAAUCAGACGGAUGCGGAAACCGAGACGGGCUGGAUGGGAAACUCUUUCCAGGAAGGCUCCAGGGCACUCAACUGGUCUCCAACCUUCCCCUGCAACCUGUGACGCCUGCCAUUUUCCCAUUUUAGGCGAUGGCAACGCAACCCCUCCGUUUGCUCUGGGCAAAACUUCGAGAGUUCCCUCUGAAGCUGGAGUUUUUUCCUCAGAUCCAAGAUCCAAUUGGUCACCAAUUCGUGAUUUCCGUCGGCCAAGUGCGUGGGCUUUGAUCUACACGCGAGUUUCUCCACCUCUGCGGAAUGGCUACUUCGGGGUGGGGGAGGGGCCCUCCCGCGGUGGAUUGCAAGGUGUUUAGCAGCAUCUGUCUCCUCCGCUGACUAGGCACAUGCCAGGGGGAUAACAUUCUCCCUCCCGCUUCCCCCAGCCGCGGCCUAGUGUCCCAGCGGGGUUGGGAGAGGCAUGUGAGGGCGAAGUUGCCCCCUGUUGAGAACCAUUCCUGCGCGUAGUCCUUCUCUCUGAACUUGUGCAGAGGACUCUCCAGGUGAAGGCUCAAGGGUGGAUCCAGCUCGAGACACCCUCGCUCCCCCUCACAGUCGGACCUUAGGAUUUAGGCUUUAACAUCUCCACAUCAUGAGAUUCGAAACCUUUAGGUCUUUUCUUCCGUUCUGUCCUCCAAAUCGGCCUCUUCCGAGCCUGUUGACCAGGGCCAGCCGGGCAGAGGGCUGGGCUCGCUCAACGAGGCUCCUCUCGCACCUCCUGGAGCUUCAGGCUUCUUUCGGUUGCAGAGAAGCUUUAUGGGCCAAUUCGUUCGGCAUCCCCGGGAGCAGGUGCGCGGUGCGCGGGGAAGAAGAGGAUUUGACUGCGGUUCUCGACCCCCGGCGCCCAACCUCCACCCCGGUGCACGCGCUCUUCCAGGCUCCUGCUGGUCCCACUUGCCAGGAGUUAGGUCUCAGGUCAGCCUGACUUCCCGAGACGCCCAGACCCGGAAGGACACGUAGGGGAAACCAUCUGCUCACUUCUGUACUGUCCGGAAGGGAUCCCUUUCUGACGGGAAAGAAAGGCG